UUCCUGUUUUCUAAGGCUUACCACCUGCAUGCAAUAACUGUGGGGUCUUAUCGUUUCAGGUUCCUGUUGCAGUGUAUAAUCAGAUGCAAUUCAGAAACCG